rnacentral:tRNA from 1 species
CGGGAUGUGGCGCAGUUGGUAGCGCAUCUGGUUUGGGACCAGAGGGUCGCAAGUUCGAGUCUUGUCAUCCCGA